GGUAAAGACCUCGUGCCAGCAACAUUUCGUCCUGACACUCUUCCGCUCGAUGUACUUGCGGUGGCAGCUGUUGGUCCUGCAGGUCGAGGACCCUCCAGGCUGGUUCCUUGCCUAGACGCCAUGCGUACGACCAUCCUUGGCCCCACACCUCCUGAGGCUGCAGUCGCUUGAGGAGUGCCAGGACGAAUCUGUUGGACAAUGAUCCUCGGUCUUGGAGGUCGAGGACCUUGCAGAGACUGCGCAAUUUGGUUCACAGUUCGAAUUUGAUACUCUGCUUUUGUUUAUUUGUAUCACAAACAGUUGGAGCACUUUAAGGACACCCAUUCCUCUGAAAAUGUCUCUUAUCGGUCAUCUUACCGUCUCCGCCAGAUGCCUCUUCCUCAUCAGCUUGCCACUGUCGAUAUAUGGAGGAUUAAAGGACUUGUUCGUUUUUCAAGGGUAUCCACUUAGUGUAGCGACUUGCUCAUGAGUUAAUUUCAUGACUCAACUAUAUCACAAGUCAUCACUCUCGCUGUACUCUGCUUAGUUGAUUGGUCAUGUUCUGUAAGUUCUGGUUUCAAAUAUCUUGUUAAAUUCUUAGUGUCUGUCUUGUCUCUCAUGUGAAAAGUCAAUAAAGAGAUAAAAUUUUUGGAAGCAUUUA